rnacentral:rRNA from 1 species
AGCGAACGCUGGCGGCGUGCUUAACACAUGCAAGUCGAACGUGAAUGGGGGCAACCCCUAGUAAAGUGGCGUACGGGUGAGUAACACGUAGAUAAUCUACCCUAGAGUCUGGAAUAACCUGACGAAAGUCGGGCUAAUACUGGAUAGAGCGACGAGAUCCGUAACUGGGUCUUUCGGGAAAGGGAGCUCGUUAAGAGCCCUUGCUCUAGGAUGAGUCUGCGCCCCAUCAGCUAGUUGGUAAGGUAACGGCUUACCAAGGCAAUGACGGGUAGCUGGUCUGAGAGGAUGAUCAGCCACACUGGAACUGAAACACGGUCCAGACUCCUACGGGAGGCAGCAGUGGGGAAUCUUGCGCAAUGGACGAAAGUCUGACGCAGCCACGCCGCGUGAGUGAAGAAGGCCUUCGGGUUGUAAAGCUCUGUCGUCGGGGACGAAAACCCCUAUGGUGAAUAGCCAUAGGGCUUGACGGUACCCGAGGAAUAAGCACCGGCUAACUACGUGCCAGCAGCCGCGGUAAUAUGUAGGGUGCAAGCGUUAAUCGGAAUUACUGGGCGUAAAGCGUGCGCAGGCGGUUUCGUAAGACCGAUGUGAAAGCCCCGGGCUUAACCUGGGAACUGCAUUGGUGACUGCGAGGCUAGAGUGUGUCAGAGGGAGGUGGAAUUCCGCGUGUAGCAGUGAAAUGCGUAGAGAUGCGGAGGAACACCGAUGGCGAAGGCAGCCUCCUGGGAUAACACUGACGCUCAGGCACGAAAGCGUGGGGAGCAAACAGGAUUAGAUACCCUGGUAGUCCACGCCCUAAACGAUGUCGACUAGUUGUCGGGCCUUCAUU